rnacentral:misc_RNA from 1 species
ACUGUACGAAUUUACACAAGAAUCCUGCGCGGGUGUUACUAUCCUUGAUCUGUCUUUUACUGUGCAUCUCUUUGGUCCUGUUAUUAUUCCUGAGACAUAAAAUUAAUGUCGGACUCACCUCGAACGAUAGACAUGUUCGUAUUAUGCAUGUAUAUAUAUAUAUUCGUGUGCAUGCCUGUACGCGGUUCACACAUUGAUUAUAAAUGUACAUAAUACGGCUUACACGGAAUCGCCACGGAGCACCACGAACGUAUGUAAAAUUAUACAAGAACCGCUCUCCCCCUUAAUAAGGCAAGGAAUGGAAUACACAUCAGUGCACACGAUAUUCUAUAAAAUAACUCACAAGCGGAAAAAUAGAACUUUCAAGGAAUCUAUAUCGAAGUCAUUGUAACAACGGCAGUAACGACAGCAAGACCUAACAGUAUAAAUUGCCAUCGAAAAAAUUCCAACGAUAUACAUACAUAUACUGCGAUAACAGUCAAAUAUUGCCGAUAUUUGGCAAGGUCCGACGGAAUGAUGAUCGGUGGACGACACAAGUGAAGUGUGAGAAGGAAGUGCAAAAUUAUUAAUCAACGCCUGGUUAUACACACUCACCCAUGUAUACUUGGAGGAAACAAUUGGUGUCGGAUGCAAGUGUUGAAUUGUGUCCAUUUCCAGGAAGAUUUUUCGUACGAUGAUAUAUACUUCUGAGCAUAACGUUUGCUUGUAUUGCGGAAGUAUUUCCAAAUGAUUUAUUCAGUUAAACAGCCACGAUGAUAGUGCACCAAAAGAGUAUUAUCUUUAUUUCAUCCGGUGUAAGGUAAAUUUCUCCAUUGAAUCACGCAUAACUAGACUAUUUGCCAAAUGUUGACGGAAAUCCAAUCGAUACUUAUAUUCAUGCCAAUUAACGACAAGAACUGUCUUCCUCGCUCUUACGAUUCGUGUAGCAUUGCGUUGAUGAAAUGAAAAACAUGAAAAAUAUGAAAAGCAAUAAAGGCACCUAAGUUGAGUUUCGCGAUGAACCAAGUCAAAGGCACAACUGUCACCCAGUCGCAUUCCGGGACUGUGACAAAUGCAUGCAAUGAGGAUGGUAACAACGAUCAGGAUGACGAUGACGAAGACGGUAAUAAUCUGGCAAACAGCAGUCCUAGUCUCUUGGUGAACGAACUCAAGUCCACACCGGUAAGGUCCAGGCUUCUUACGGUUGAUGCAGACAAUUAUAUGUUGCGUCAAGGUCCCAGGGACCAUCAUCUAGGUAGUGAUACAAUUAUUGAGAAUGGUGGCAAACUAAAAAUAUGUUCACGAAUGUUCGGCAACUCAAAUGGUGAGAAUGUGCUGAAUAAAUCGUUACACUCCCAUGGAUAUGCCAAUCUUAAGCUGUCUCCAACCACUAGAAACCCACAAAUUGAGUCAGAGUCCUUGCCAACCUACGACGUCCAGGCGUGUUAUGCCACGACAUGUUUUAAUUCUGGAGAUGGUGAUAAAGAUGACAAGGCAAAUACUGUUACUAACACAGCUACCCAGUUCAAUAGUCAUAACGAUGAAAUCCCGUUUGUCCUACCUGGUUCAGGUAGAGUCAGCUGUGCUCGCCCUCUGUCUUUUCACCGUGUUGUAUGCUGGUGCAAUAGUUUAGAGGAUGUGUCGAAAGCGCAAUGCCGAAAAAUGGACAAUGACGAAUCAGAUGUGUCGAUAAAGGGAUCGAGAACGUUGGACUAUCCUAGUGCUAGUAAUAACAGUAAUAUCAGCAGUAAUAAUAGCAUUAAAGGUAGCGGUGCAGUGCGUAGUCAUACUUCAAUUAAUAACAGUUGCAAUAAAAAGGGACUAUUCAAGGUAUCCGCUAAUGUGACAAAUCUUUGUUGUUGUAUGUGCGGUUCUUUGUGCCCAACAGAGUGCCACGCAUGUUUUCACCUUGUCUGCGCCGAGUACAACGAACAACAUCUAUGUCAAUGGAUAGACAAGGAUCCAGCACGUUCUGGCACUACGUAUGAUAAGGAAAAGCCGGUCAACGACUGGACUGCCUCGAAUGUGGUUGAAUGGAUGUCAGCCUUGAACCUUUAUCGUUACGCAGACGUCUUCAAGUCCAAGGAUAUCAAAGGAAGUGACUUGUUCCACUUGGACCGGGAUAAGCUUGUGAAUAUGGGAAUAAAAGAUGAGUUUCACCAGAAGAAUAUAUUGCUGUGUAUCGAAGAAUUGUGUCAUUCUGUACCUCAAAAUUCAACUCCGACUGCUAAUAUACAACAAACGACGCCCGGAGAAACGACCCAGAAUACCCUAGGUGCGACAUCACCCUCAACGAUAACACAGAGCGGAAUUCGUCAUUCCCUCGUACCUCGUAGCUUCAGUGUCCUCGAAAGAUGUGUCAAAUGUAAUAAAUAUCUGCGCGGACUGCUGCAUCAAGGCUUCUUUUGUCAAGCGUGUGGACUGGUUGCUCACAGAACAUGUUCUGCUACUGGGUUACCAUCUGAUUGCUUACCACCGGACGGUGAUUCUCACCUUACCAACUUCAAUACAGUCUUUGGUCUAGCAUUGUGCUCACAAUUUGAUACAACAACGCACACAGCACCGAUCUUGGUCGAGAGGUGCACCCAUGUACUUGAGGAUCAUGCUUUAACUGACAAUACUCUGGAUUUAUACAAAGUUUAUCAAAGUACACCUCCUAACGAGCAAAUGCUUGAACUUCGCCAAAAGAUAAUUGACGAUGUGAGCAAUGUAAAUCUGUCAAACUACAGUCCUCAGUGUGUCGCAAGUUCACUUAAGAAAUUUUUGCGAGAACUACCAGAUCCUGUAAUACCCGUACAGUGGUAUGAUACUUUUUUAGAAGCUUCCAAACUUCGAAAUGAUGAACAGUGUACCAAGUGCCUUUUCAAAUUAGUCGAUGAACUUCCGGAACAUCACAGGAGCACGCUUCGUCAUCUAAUGCUACACUUCUGUCGUAUAUGUCGAUUACAACAUGCCCGAGGCUACAGAGAACCACCGACAAUUCUCAUUCAAGUUCUUUGUCACAUAUUUCUACGUCCGCCAUGGGAGCGCAUCAUUCAAGUCGUUCAUAAUACGGAAGCCCACAUUCGCAUUAUGGAGUUAUUGUUGCUUCACGGGGACUGGGGUGAAAAACUACCAGAAUUCGCGAGUGCACCCCAAUUACCUCCCCGCAAGGUAUCAAGGCCACAGUUUCCUGUUGUCGAUCAAUUUUCUACAAUUAUGAUGAACGAUGACGAUUGCUGUAUGACUGGUAACGAAAAGUCGUUAACCGAUAGCAAUGGCAAAGAUCAGGUACAACCGCAACAGCAGCAGCAUCGGCCUCGCAAUCUCCAGGAAGCCGAAUGGUACUGGGGCGACAUAACGAGAGACGAAGUCAACGAACGACUGACAGACUCACCGGACGGCACAUUUUUAGUACGCAAUGCCUCGUCAAACGAUGGGGAAUACACGCUCACACUGCGGAAGGGUGGAGCAAACAAGCUCAUCAAGAUUUGUCACCGCAACGGCAAAUAUGGUUUCUCAGAGCCUUUCAAUUUUCAAUCAGUAGUCGAAUUAGUCGACCAUUAUCGAAACUGCUCCUUAGCUCAAUACAACUCGACAUUGAACAUUAAACUUCUCUACCCUGUAUCAAGGUUUCAACAGGACGACGAUAUUGGUGGCAUGACGGACAUGAAAAAUGUGAUCCAAAAAUUUAUCGAACUGGAUAGAGAGUUAAGCCAGGCGAUGAAACAACACGAAGAUUGCUCAGAAUUGUACUUACGGACGUCACAUGAAGUGCAACUCAAACGACAGGCUCUAGAUGCAUUCACGGAAGCCAUAAAAAUGUUUGAGGAUCAAAUGAGGCUGCAGGAAAGAUUUCAAAAGGAAGCUCAACCCCAUGAAAUUAUGACAGUGAAAUGAUUAAACUUUACCAUCAGGCAGGCCAGUCUAGUUUGCAACUCCUUCUCCAAUAUAUUCUUAUACAGAAUUGCAUUGCCUGACUACAAAUGCUGAGGUAUUGAAGCAGCGGCUGAUAUCUUUGGA